CCUACGGGAGGCAGCAGUGAGGAAUAUUGGUCAAUGGGCGGAAGCCUGAACCAGCCAAGUAGCGUGAGGGAUGACUGCCCUAUGGGUUGUAAACCUCUUUUAUAAGGGAAUAAAAUACGGGACGUGUCCUGUUUUGCAUGUACCUUAUGAAUAAGGACCGGCUAAUUCCGUGCCAGCAGCCGCGGUAAUAAGG
rnacentral:rRNA from 1 species